AUUGAACGCUGGCGGCAGGCCUAACACAUGCAAGUCGAGCGGAAGAAGGGUGCUUGCUCCUGGAUUCAGCGGCCGACGGGUGAGUAAUGCCUAGGAAUCUGCCUGGUAGUGGGGGAUAACGUCCGGAAACGGGCGCUAAUACCGUAUAAGCCCUGAGGGAGAAAGGGGGGGAUCAUGGGAUCUUACGCUAUCAGGUGAGCCUAUGUCGGAUUAGCUAGUUGGUGGGGUAAAGGCCUACCAAGGCGACGAUCCGUAACUGGUCUGAGAGGAUGAUCAGUCACACUGGAACUGAGACACGGUCCAGACUCCUACGGGAGGCAGCAGUGGGGAAUAUUGGACAAUGGGCGAAAGCCUGAUCCAGCCAUGCCGCGUGUGUGAAGAAGGUCUUCGGAUUGUAAAGCACUUUUAGUUGGGAGGAAGGGCAGUAAGUUAAUACCUUGCUGUUUUGACGUUACCAAAAGAAUAAGCACCGGCUAACUUCGUG
rnacentral:rRNA from 1 species